rnacentral:rRNA from 1 species
AAUAGAUACCCUGGUAGUCCACGCCGUAAACGAUGAGUGCUAAGUGUUAGAGGGUUUCCGCCCUUUAGUGCUGCAGCUAACGCAUUAAGCACUCCGCCUGGGGAGUACGGUCGCAAGACUGAAACUCAAAGGAAUUGACGGGGGCCCGCACAAGCGGUGGAGCAUGUGGUUUAAUUCGAAGCAACGCGAAGAACCUUACCAGGUCUUGACAUCCCACUGACCGGUAUAGAGAUAUACCUUUCCCUUCGGGGGACAGUGGUGACAGGUGGUGCAUGGUUGUCGUCAGCUCGUGUCGUGAGAUGUUGGGUUAAGUCCCGCAACGAGCGCAACCCUUGAUCUUAGUUGCCAGCAUUUAGUUGGGCACUCUAAGGUGACUGCCGGUGACAAACCGGAGGAAGGUGGGGAUGACGUCAAAUCAUCAUGCCCCUUAUGACCUGGGCUACACACGUGCUACAAUGGAUGGUACAAAGGGCUGCAAGACUGCGAAGUCAAGCCAAUCCCAUAAAACCGAUUCUCAGUUCGGAUUGCAGGU